UCUUGAGCCAUUUGCUCGGGCUUGCUUCCCACGUUCGCUUCUUCAAUCAGUUUGUGCCUUUGACUCCAGAGAAUGAAGUUGAAAAUACAAUAGCAGGCUGGAAGCCGUCUGGGGUCCUGCUGACUCCCAAUCCCAGGAAGCCUGGAAGAGCACUGGGGUGAGCUUGGGCCAGCGCCUGUUGACUGUCACAGGGGACUGACUCCAGAACACUCCGGCUUGGCCUGAGCUGGCAGAGGGUUACCCUGUCCUGCCCAUACCGCAGUGUUGGCUGCCCAGCUGGAACAGGCAUUCUAGAAUCCAGAUCACCUUCUGGAAUCCUGCCCCACUCAGGACAAGGGCUCCAAGGACCAGGAAAGGACAGGCUUGCCCCAGGGCUCUGGCGCCCAUUCCAGGUAGGCCUCUACUUCUGGAACCCUGGCACCCAGCAAGCACUUCCUCUUGGCUCCAUUUCCCACCCUCUCCUCCGGCCCACAGCCUGCUGUAAACCAGAGCUGGGCUCGAUUCGUGCUCCUCCCGACAUGGUGUGGCUUUUCGUCGUCAUCUUGAACCUCUCUAGGCCUCAGUCUUCCUUUUCUAUAAGAUGGGGGUCCCACCUACCCUGCCCACCUAACCAAAAUGGUGCAAGAAGCUGCCAGAGGAUUUAGACUAUAAUUUCUAGGGAUCAUAGGAAUCAUUGCUAACUAUCUGGGCUAAUGGAGCGGGGAGGUGUUCAGCUCACUGGGAAGAAAAGAUGAUAAUAUUUGUAGUUAACUUUUAUGGCGCACAUAGAUGCUUUAUAUAUACAUGAAUAUAU